GCUCACCUAGUCCACAAGCGAACCCAUUGUGAUACCACCCACACGCUAAUCGAACCAUUUUGUGGAGUAUGCAAAGCUAAACAGUUGCCGAAUCUUUCUUAGAUCGCCAAAGAUUGCUACCACUUGUGGCUUCAACCUGCUGCUCCAAAGUGUGGGGCAUUCGCAGAUGAAGUGUCUUAAAUUUUCAAGUUUCCUAGCUGCAACUUCUGAGGAAAUCAUUAGAUCGUACGCCCUACCUCUCCGUCCUUUUAGAAGGCAUUUAACUGUAGACAUCUCCUUUCUUUUCAGCUCAAUAAAGUUGCGUGACGUUCUUCUGUUAAAUUAAAUUGAAAUAUUAAAUUCUCUAUUAUUUGUAUAAAUGUUUCACGUCAAAAUUUGAGUUUCUGUUAUUUCAGCGGCUGUUUUAUCUGCCACUAAAACAACAGGCCGGUCUGCGGUUCACUUUCCGGAGAAAAUAGUAGUCGGAUUUUUUUCUUAAUUGAUCGGAUCCUGGUCCACUCCUUGGAGGUCGCUGGUCCACUUACCGAAAAAUUUUUCGCAAAAUCUUUCCAGGAAUAAUAGAGGCAAUUUUACAAAAUUUCGAGUCAAUCGAUGGGUAACUUUUGAAGAUUUUUGGAGAUUACUGGAUUUUUCCAACCGAAAAAAAACAGAUAUAGAAGAUAAAUGUGUUAUUAACAUAUUGGGAUAUCCAAAAUUAAAAAUUAAAUGAUAAGAAAUGAGAUUUAAAACCUAA
rnacentral:lncRNA from 1 species